AGCGAACGCUGGCGGCAGGCCUAACACAUGCAAGUCGAACGAAGCCUUCGGGCUUAGUGGCGGACGGGUGAGUAACACGUGGGAACGUACCUUUUGGUUCGGAACAACUCAGGGAAACUUGAGCUAAUACCGGAUGAGCCCUUCGGGGGAAAGAUUUAUCGCCAUUAGAGCGGCCCGCGUUAGAUUAGCUAGUUGGUGAGGUAAAGGCUCACCAAGGCUACGAUCUAUAGCUGGUCUGAGAGGAUGAUCAGCCACACUGGGACUGAGACACGGCCCAGACUCCUACGGGAGGCAGCAGUGGGGAAUCUUGCGCAAUGGGCGAAAGCCUGACGCAGCCAUGCCGCGUGAAUGAUGAAGGUCUUAGGAUUGUAAAAUUCUUUUACCAGGGACGAUAAUGACGGUACCUGGAGAAAAAGCCCCGGCUAACUUCGUGCCAGCCGCCGCAGUAAUAC
rnacentral:rRNA from 1 species